AUACGUAGGGUGCGAGCGUUAAUCGGAAUUACUGGGCGUAAAGCGUGCGCAGGUGGUUUUGUAAGUCAGAUGUGAAAUCCCCGGGCUUAACCUGGGAACUGCGUUUGAAACUGCAAGGCUAGAGUGUGGCAGAGGGGGGUGGAAUUCCGCGUGUAGCAGUGAAAUGCGUAGAUAUGUGGAGGAACACCGAUGGCGAAGGCAGCCCCCUGGGUCAACCCUGACGCUCAGGCACGAAAGCAUGGGGAGCAAACAGGAUUAGAUACCCCAGUAGUCC
rnacentral:rRNA from 1 species